UACGUAGGGGGCUAGCGUUAUCCGGAAUUACUGGGCGUAAAGGGUGCGUAGGUGGUUUCUUAAGUCAGAGGUGAAAGGCUACGGCUCAACCGUAGUAAGCCUUUGAAACUGGGAAACUUGAGUGCAGGAGAGGAGAGUGGAAUUCCUAGUGUAGCGGUGAAAUGCGUAGAUAUUAGGAGGAACACCAGUUGCGAAGGCGGCUCUCUGGACUGUAACUGACACUGAGGCACGAAAGCGUGGGGAGCAAACAGGAUUAGAUACCCAUGUAGUCCCUGAG
rnacentral:rRNA from 1 species